rnacentral:rRNA from 1 species
GUGAGGAAUAUUGGUCAAUGGGCGGAAGCCUGAACCAGCCAUCCCGCGUGGAGGAAGACGGCCCUAUGGGUUGUAAACUUCUUUUCAAGGGGAAGAAAGUUCGCGACGUGUCGCGAUUUGCCGGUACCUUUGGAAUAAGCAUCGGCUAACUCCGUGCCAGCAGCCGCGGUAAUACGGAGGAUGCGAGCGUUAUCCGGAUUUAUUGGGUUUAAAGGGUGAGUAGGCCGAUCGAUAAGUCAGCGGUGAAAUACCAUGGCCCAACCAUGGAACUGCCGUUGAUACUGUCGGUCUUGAAUAUGGUCAAGGUAGGCGGAAUGUGUAAUGUAGCGGUGAAAUGCUUAGAUAUUACACAGAACCGAUUGCGAAGGCAGCUCACAAAGCCAUUAUUGACGCUGAGGCACGAAAGUGUGGGGAUCAAACAGGAUUAGAAACCCCGGUAGUCC